UAAAAAACAAACAAAAAA
rnacentral:sRNA from 1 species